AUAGUACUACUAUCUUCUCCCUCUCCUCCACCGCACACUACUCUCCAACUCCGCCACCCUUCACCACCUCCAUUCUCACCGGAAAACACCACCCCACCGCCACUUCCACUUCCAUUCUCUCCCUCAAGUCCUCCUCUAACGACUCUUCAGAUAAACCCACCACCUCGCACUCCUCCACCAGCCUCCGCCGUCCCACAACCAACAACAACAAAUCCCUUAACACCCCUCUUUCUCAGAAUCUUGAAUUUACUAAAAACCCCUUAAAACUUCUACUUAAUUCUCCUCCUGCCACUUCACCGCCCCCACCAUCCCUCUCUAACAAACUUUGGUUAUCCAAUAAACUCUCACCACCCCCACCCCCACCACCUCCGCCGCCGUUAGCACCUAAUGAGAGUGAUUUGGACUAUUCAGAUGAUGAGGAAAUGCAAAAAAGUAGU
rnacentral:lncRNA from 1 species